GCCGGGAUGGCGAAAUGGUAGACGCGCCGGACUCAAAAUCCGGUUCUGGCAACAGAGUGAGAGUUCAAGUCUCUCUCCCGGCACCA
rnacentral:tRNA from 1 species